UAGCGCCUCGGGUCAUGCUUGGCCAUGUUCUGGCCCGCCCGUUCCAAGCAAGGAGUCGGGUCAUGUGUCUUGGGCGAAGGCUCUGGUCACAUGGUCCUUAGACAGGAGGGCAAAGCGUGAGGAAGAUGUGCACUCUGGAGUUUUUCUCUCCCAAGAGGAUCGAGGCUCUCAGACCCAUUAGGGAAGAUGAGGUCACUGCCAUGGUUGAGUCCAUUUUCAAGCACUG
rnacentral:SRP_RNA from 1 species